rnacentral:rRNA from 1 species
GUGUCAGCAGCCGCGGUAAUACAGAGGUCCCAAGCGUUGUUCGGAUUCACUAAGCGUAAAGAGUGCGUAGGUAAUUGCGCAAGUCUGAUGUGAAAUCUCCAAGCUCAACCCGGAAAUGGCAUUGGAAACUGCGUGGCUAGAGGGUUGGAGGAAGGACUGGAAUACUUGGUGUAGCAGUGAAAUGCGUAGAUAUCAAGUGGAACACCAGUGGCGAAGGCGAGUCCCUGGACAACACCUGACACUGAGGCACGAAAGCUAGGGGAGCAAACAGGAUUAGAAACCCUGGUAGUCC